GAUGAACGCUGGCGGCGUGCCUAAUACAUGCAAGUCGAGCGAACGGACGAGAAGCUUGCUUCUCUGAUGUUAGCGGCGGACGGGUGAGUAACACGUGGAUAACCUACCUAUAAGACUGGGAUAACUUCGGGAAACCGGAGCUAAUACCGGAUGAUAUUUUGAACCGCAUGGUUCAAAAGUGAAAGACGGUCUUGCUGUCACUUAUAGAUGGAUCCGCGCUGCAUUAGCUAGUUGGUAAGGUAACGGCUUACCAAGGCAACGAUGCAUAGCCGACCUGAGAGGGUGAUCGGCCACACUGGAACUGAGACACGGUCCAGACUCCUACGGGAUGCAGCAGUAGGGAAUCUUCCGCAAUGGGCGAAAGCCUGACGGAGCAACGCCGCGUGAGUGAUGAAGGUCUUCGGAUCGUAAAACUCUGUUAUUAGGGAAGAACAUAUGUGUAAGUAACUGUGCACAUCUUGACGGUACCUAAUCAGAAAGCCACGGCUAACUACGUG
rnacentral:rRNA from 1 species